UUUUUCAGCGAACCAACUGUAGUGGAACGGUCACUAGAUAUCCAGCGGGAAAGAAGACUGUAGAGCUCACUUUGGUCUAGUCUGUAUAGUCUGCGGGGGGUGUAGACUAGGUGGGAGAGCAAUCGAUUCUGAAAAACCACUACCCUGUUUGGAUUAUGCUUACCUAUCACAAGGAAUAGGACUAGAUAGAAAGUUUGGCUGGGGCGGCACACCUUCGAAAGAGCAGCGAAGGUGUCCUAAGUUGAGCUCAGUGAGGACAGAAAUCUCACGUUGAGGAUAAGGCCAAAAGCUCAAUUUACUGUGCCUUUUUGUACUAGGAUCAGUUACGAAAGUAAGGCCUAACGAUCCCUAAAUAGCCUCAGGUGCGUGAGGAUUGGGGUGACAGACAAGUUACCUCCGGGACAACUGGCUUGUGGCUGCUAAGAGAUCAAAUCAACGCAGCUUUUUGAUUCUUCGAUGUCGGCUCUUCCUAUCCUAGUGAUGUACAAGUUGCUAAGGGUCGGAUUGUUCACCCGUAUUAGGGAUCGUGAGCUGGGUUUAGACCGUCGUGAGCCAGGUUUGUUUUAUCCUACUGGAUAUAGCAUCAUGAUAGUAGAUUGAUUUAGUACGAGAGGAACUGUUGAUUAUGGCCUCUGGUUAGCGAUUAUCGGAAACGGUAUGUCGCGCAGCUACGCCGUCUGGGAUAAUGGCUGAAAGCCUCUUAAGCCAGAAGCCCAUCUAGAAAGUGAUGCACGUGAUGUUGGACCGAUACGAAUAAUCAUACUCAAAAGGUCCGCUUCAUAGGUAACCCAAUGUAGAAGACAUUGUGUGAACGAAGGUACUGUAAGCAGUGGAGUGGCAUUACGUCCACGACCUGUUGAGGUUCAGCUUCGCUUCUAGGUUUCC
rnacentral:ncRNA from 1 species